rnacentral:rRNA from 1 species
UACGUAGGGGGCUAGCGUUGUCCGGAAUCAUUGGGCGUAAAGCGCACGUAGGCGGCUUCUUAAGUCAGGGGUGAAAUCCUGGAGCUCAACUCCAGAACUGCCUUUGAUACUGAGGAGCUUGAGUCCGGGAGAGGUGAGUGGAACUGCGAGUGUAGAGGUGAAAUUCGUAGAUAUUCGCAAGAACACCAGUGGCGAAGGCGGCUCACUGGCCCGGUACUGACGCUGAGGUGCGAAAGCGUGGGGAGCAAACAGG